AUGGAGCAAUUACCGUACUGUAACAGACUAGGAGAAGAUUUUGGAAAAAGAGCUAAGAUGAUCAUCUUUGUCAUCACUUUUACUGCAUCUCUGAUCUGCCAUACAGUUUUAGCAGGAGACAGUGGAGUCACCCAAACACCCAGUGUUGCCUGGCCUGAGAAAGGAAAAUCUGCUGAAAUGACAUGCAGUCAUGAUAAAGAUGCAAGCUAUUAUCAGAUGUAUUGGUACAGACAGCGCCACGGAGAGAGUAUGGAGCUCAUCGUGUACACAUCGACCAGUGGUGAACCUGAGUUUGGUUCUGUUGAUAAAAAUAAAUUUUCCACGGUGAAAGAAACUGCUGCACAUGGAUCUUUAACCGUGAAGGCUCUGGAUAUGGAGGACAGCGCUGUAUAUUUCUGUGCAGUAAGAGAACACAGUGUUACAGAGCGACUGCACUGCUGA